CAGCGCGCGUCACCGAGCGGACGCCCCGGCGUUUCGGGCGGCUGGGCAGGCGAGCCGCCAAAGGCCAAGAGCGACGCAGGCCCGAGGUAGGGCGCGGGGAGCGCGCGGCCUCUGUGUCGCGCUAAGCACUGCGGCGCGGGCCCGGACGUACCGGGGCGCGUUCUGUCUGCGACAGAAGAAGGGAAGCGCGUUCGUCCCACGCCAAGGACUCAUUGAGCAAGUCACAACACUCGGAAGUGACACAGGCACAUUACACACUGCUGAGCACUGGAAAUACCUGCAAGCACUUCUGGGAAUACUUCAGAAGCUUCCACCACUGUUCUGUUUUUUAAUCAGGUGGGAUAUGAAGACUAAUCAGUUUUAGGUUUCAAAUUGUGCCUUCAUACAUGUGAUAUGAAAUUAUAAAUAUGCCAUUUACUUUUAUGAGUUUGUU
rnacentral:lncRNA from 1 species